rnacentral:rRNA from 1 species
AUACGGAGGGUGCGAGCGUUGUUCGGAAUUACUGGGCGUAAAGAGAGUGUAGGCGGCUAAUUAAGUCUGGUGUGAAAGCCCGGGGCUCACCCCCGGAAGUGCGCUGGAAACUGCCUAGCUAGAGUCCCGGAGAGGAUGGCGGAAUUCCCAGUGUAGAGGUGAAAUUCGUAGAUAUUGGGAAGAACACCUGAGGCGAAGGCGGCCAUCUGGACGGUGACUGACGCUGAGACGCGAAAGCGUGGGGAGCAAACAGGAUUAGAAACCCCAGUAGUCC